rnacentral:rRNA from 1 species
AUACGGAGGACGCGAGCGUUAUCCGGAUUCAUUGGGUUUAAAGGGUGCGCAGGCGGCCGUGCAAGUCAGCGGUGAAAGCCCGGGGCCCAACCCCGGAAGUGCCGUUGAUACUGCAUGGCUUGAAUGCGGUCGAGGCGGGCGGAACGGGGGGUGUAGGGGUGAAAUGCGUAGAUAUUCCACAGAACGCCGAUAGCGGAGGCAGCUCGCCAAGCCAGGAUUGACGCUCGGGCACGAAAGCGUGGGGAUCGAACAGGAUUAGAUACCCUGGUAGUCCACGCCGUAAACGAUGGGCGUUCGUCGUCGGCGGCAGACAGUCGGCGGCCAAGCGAAAGCGAUAAGCGCCCCACCUGGGGAGUACGGUCGCAAGGCUGAAACUCAAAUGAAUUGACGGGG